AAUACGUUCCCGGACCUUGCACACACCGCCCGUCAAGCCAUGGAAGCUGGGUGUACCUAAAGUCGGUAACCGUAAGGAGCCGCCUAGGGUAAAACUAGUGACUGGGGCU
rnacentral:rRNA from 1 species